rnacentral:rRNA from 1 species
AAUGAACGCUGGCGGCGUGCCUAAUACAUGCAGGUCGAGCGAACAGACGAGGAGCUUGCUCCUCUGACGUUAGCGGCGGACGGGUGAGUAACACGUGGAUAACCUACCUAUAAGACUGGGAUAACUUCGGGGAACCGGAGCUAAUACCGGAUAAUAUAUUGAACCGCAUGGUUCAAUAGUGAAAGACGGUUUUGCUGUCACUUAUAGAUGGAUCCGCGCCGCAUUAGCUAGUUGGUAAGGUAACGGCUUACCAAGGCAACGAUGCGUAGCCGACCUGAGAGGGUGAUCGGCCACACUGGAACUGAGACACGGUCCAGACUCCUACGGGAGGCAGCAGUAGGGAAUCUUCCGCAAUGGGCGAAAGCCUGACGGAGCAACGCCGCGUGAGUGAUGAAGGUCUUCGGAUCGUAAAACUCUGUUAUUAGGGAAGAACAAAUGUGUAAGUAACUAUGCACGUCUUGACGGUACCUAAUCAGAAAGCCACGGCUAACUACGUG